rnacentral:rRNA from 1 species
CCUACGUGAUGCAGCAGUAGGGAAUCUUCCACAAUGGGCGAAAGCCUGAUGGAGCAACGCCGCGUGGGUGAAGAAGGUCUUCGGAUCGUAAAACCCUGUUGUUAGAGAAGAAAGUGCGUGAGAGUAACUGUUCACGUUUCGACGGUAUCUAACCAGAAAGCCACGGCUAACUACGUGCCAGCAGCCGCGGUAAUACGUAGGUGGCAAGCGUUAUCCGGAUUUAUUGGGCGUAAAGGGAACGCAGGCGGUCUUUUAAGUCUGAUGUGAAAGCCUUCGGCUUAACCGGAGUAGUGCAUUGGAAACUGGGAGACUUGAGUGCAGAAGAGGAGAGUGGAACUCCAUGUGUAGCGGUGAAAUGCGUAGAUAUAUGGAAGAACACCAGUGGCGAAAGCGGCUCUCUGGUCUGUAACUGACGCUGAGGUUCGAAAGCGUGGGUAGCAAACAGGAUUAGAUACCCUAGUAGUC